GUUUCAAAGGCCCUGAAUUCGAUCACUUAGUUCGAACGUGGGUUCUACUAGGCAUAGAACACGAUCCCCCGCCCGCCGCCGAUCCACGUGAGCCGGCUGAUUGCGCAAUAGUGCACGCUGACUUUGACCCCCGUGCAGGCAUGCAUAUCCGGGUCACAGGCGCUUCAUAUUUCAGAGGCAACAUGGCCACGGUAGAAGGAACACGUGAACGUAAAAAAACACCCGAAAAUGCGCAUUUUCUUGGUCAGAGCCGCAUUUUUCCCCGUAGAAGAGUGGAUGAGUGCCUUCGUCAUUGAACAUCCGACUUAGGCUUGACAAGUGCUGGGAGAAAAUGAAGUACCAGGAAUGAGAAGAGGAUGACAACUCACACAAGUCCUUAUUCAAGGUAGCCCCAAGGCCAGACUAUGCUGACAGCAUAGCCCAGUCUCCAGCCAU